UACGUAGGUGGCAAGCGUUGUCCGGAUUUACUGGGCGUAAAGAGCGCGCAGGCGGUCGUUCAAGUCGCGUGUGAAAGCCCCCGGCUCAACUGGGGAGGGUCACGCGAUACUGAUCGACUCGAAGGCAGGAGAGGGUAGUGGAAUUCCCGGUGUAGUGGUGAAAUGCGUAGUUAUCGGGAGGAACACCAGUGGCGAAGGCGACUACCUGGCCUGUUUCUUGACGCUGAGGCGCGAAAGCUAGGGGAGCAAACGGG
rnacentral:rRNA from 1 species